AGCCAACUGACAACAUCCUCUUCUUCUCCUUCUUUUAAUAUUGUGCUCUUACUGUAUCUCAAACACCUUCAUGAUUUAAAGACUUAAAUAAAGAAUCAAAGAGUACGUCACAUCGUUGGAUUCAUCUGCAUCUGGAAUAAACACGAGAAGAUGACUCACCAUCUUAAAUCAAGAUUCUGCUCAUGUUCCCGCCUCGUUUGUCAGCACCGCCUUAAUUAUUACACUCACCCGAGUCUUUUUAUCCCCGGGUUGUCUUUGUAUUGAAUCCCAGUUUGUGCUCCCUGUUGCCAGAUCGUAGCGUUUCCUUUGUCCUAGCAUUUUUGUCUAUAGCUUUAGUGUUUAUGAUCUCUGCCUGUUUUUUUCCCUUCUCCUCUGGAUUUGUUUGAAUUUCUGUGUACCAAACCUUGGACCGCAUUAAACGCCUUUCCUUUU